UCUUCAGAGGAGCCAGAAUGCGAGGUGCUCGUCGAUCUGUGGAAUCGACUAGAGUUCCAUCUGAGAGGGAAGGUAUGGACACCUUUCCCCCUACUCUGCCAAGAGCGCAGUCGUGGGGAGUUAGCAGAUGGGGAACAUCUAGGGACCCUGGAAGGUCUUUUGAUGUAAGCAGAGAAGGAAUGGCUCCAAGAAGGAUGUCAGCUAGUAUGAGGGAAGUAGAGAUGGG
rnacentral:lncRNA from 1 species